CGGACGGGUGAGUAACGCGUGGGUAACCUGCCUCGUACAGGGCGAUAACAGUUGGAAACGACUGCUAAUACCGCAUAAGCCCACGGCUCGGCAUCGAGCAGAGGGAAAAGGAGUGAUCCACUUUGAGAUGGCCUCGCGUCCGAUUAGCUAGUUGGUGAGGUAACGGCCCACCAAGGCGACGAUCGGUAGCCGGACUGAGAGGUUGAACGGCCACAUUGGGACUGAGACACGGCCCAG
rnacentral:rRNA from 1 species